AAAUCGCCGUUAGGGGCGCUUGUGAUGAUUGGGAUACUAGAAAUACACAGCUUCUUAUGGCAAGAAUAACUAUUUUGUUAUAAAUUAUAGAGCCAAGUUAAUAUUUGGGCAUAUUUUUACCAGAGUUAGCUUUUAGAAACGUGGUUUUUCUAAUUGAGCAAUGUGCGUGGCUAAAAUUGUGAAUACAAAACCUUAAAUUUGAGUUUGAAAAUGCAUACACGACCGAAGAAACAUAUAAGCUGCUAAAAUAAAUCUUCCCUAGAACUGUUGUACAAAAAAGAUAGAAGUUCCAGCAACAAAUUUAUCACCAGUUCAACCUUUGAUUUGAUGUAAACAGUAAUUGUUUCUUGAUGAGAAAUGCGAAUGAAAUAGUUUAUGGUGUGAUUGUGUUAGUGUUUUAUUAAUAGUUUUGUUGAUGCAGUUUAAAGGUUCAUAGUUUUUCAUUAAAACAUUUGAAAUUGACAUGUUUACAUGCAGUUUAGUGUGAUACCAUUUUAAUAAACAUUAAAAUCUUUCGAACUAGUAGUGGUUUUAUGGCGAUUGACAGAUUGAAUAACGAAAAU